UACGAAGGGGGCUAGCGUUGUUCGGAAUCACUGGGCGUAAAGCGCACGUAGGCGGAUUGUUAAGUCGGGGUGAAAUCCUGAGGCUCAACCUCAGAACUGCCUUCGAUACUGGCAAUCUCGAGUCCGGAAGAGGUUGGUGGAACAGCUAGUGUAGAGGUGAAAUUCGUAGAUAUUAGCUAGAACACCAGUGGCGAAGGCGGCCAACUGGUCCGGUACUGACGCUGAGGUGCGAAAGCGUGGGGAGCAAACAGG
rnacentral:rRNA from 1 species